rnacentral:tRNA from 1 species
GGAAUGUUAGCUCAGCUGGUUAGAGUAUUACCUUGACAUGGUAGGGGUCGGCGGUUCGAAUCCGCCACAUUCCA